rnacentral:rRNA from 1 species
CCUACGGGAGGCUGCAGUGGGGAAUAUUGCACAAUGGGGGAAACCCUGAUGCAUCGACGCCGCGUGAGUGAAGAAGUAUUUCGGUAUGUAAAGCUCUAUCAGCAGGGAAGAAAAUGACGGUACCUGAUUAAGAAGCCCCGGCUAACUACGUGCCAGCAGCCGCGGUAAUACGUAGGGGGCAAGCGUUAUCCGGAUUUACUGGGUGUAAAGGGAGCGUAGACGGGGAUGCAAGUCAGAAGUGAAAGCCCGGGGCUCAACUCCGGGACUGCUUUUGAAACUGUGUAACUUGAGUGCAGGAGAGGUAAGCGGAAUUCCGGGUGUAGCGGUGAAAUGCGUAGAUAUCAGGAGGAACACCAGUGGCGAAGGCGGCUUACUGGACUGUAACUGACGUUGAGGCUCGAAAGCGUGGGGAGCAAACAGGAUUAGAUACCCUUGUAGUC